rnacentral:rRNA from 1 species
AGAGUUUGAUCAUGGCUCAGGACGAACGCUGGCGGCGUGCUUAACACAUGCAAGUCGAGCGGAAAGGCCCUUCGGGGUACUCGAGCGGCGAACGGGUGAGUAACACGUGAGUAACCUGCCCCAGACUUUGGGGAUAACCCUCGGAAACGGGGGCUAAUACCGGAUAUGACCUGUCACCGCAUGGUGGUUGGUGGAAAGUUUUUCGGUUUGGGAUGGGCUCGCGGCCUAUCAGCUUGUUGGUGGGGUGAUGGCCUACCAAGGCGACGACGGGUAGCCGGCCUGAGAGGGCGACCGGCCACACUGGGACUGAGACACGGCCCAGACUCCUACGGGAGGCAGCAGUGGGGAAUAUUGCACAAUGGGCGGAAGCCUGAUGCAGCGACGCCGCGUGAGGGAUGACGGCCUUCGGGUUGUAAACCUCUUUCAGCAGGGACGAAGCGCAAGUGACGGUACCUGCAGAAGAAGCGCCGGCCAACUACGUGCCAGCAGCCGCGGUAAGACGUAGGGCGCGAGCGUUGUCCGGAUUUAUUGGGCGUAAAGAGCUCGUAGGCGGCUUGUCGCGUCGACCGUGAAAACUUGGGGCUCAACCCCAAGCCUGCGGUCGAUACGGGCAGGCUCGAGUUCGGUAGGGGAGACUGGAAUUCCUGGUGUAGCGGUGAAAUGCGCAGAUAUCAGGAGGAACACCGGUGGCGAAGGCGGGUCUCUGGGCCGAUACUGACGCUGAGGAGCGAAAGCGUGGGGAGCGAACAGGAUUAGAUACCCUAGUAGUCC